rnacentral:rRNA from 1 species
AAAUGACUGUACCCGAAUAAGAAGGUCCGGCUAACUUCGUGCCAGCAGCCGCGGUAAUACGAAGGGACCUAGCGUAGUUCGGAAUUACUGGGCUUAAAGAGUUCGUAGGUGGUUGAAAAAGUUAGUGGUGAAAUCCCAGAGCUUAACUCUGGAACUGCCAUUAAAACUUUUCAGCUAGAGUAUGAUAGAGGAAAGCAGAAUUUCUAGUGUAGAGGUGAAAUUCGUAGAUAUUAGAAAGAAUACCAAUUGCGAAGGCAGCUUUCUGGAUCAUUACUGACACUGAGGAACGAAAGCAUGGGUAGCGAAGAGGAUUAGAUACCCUCGUAGUCCAUGCCGUAAACGAUGUGUGUUAGACGUUGGAAAUUUAUUUUCAGUGUCGCAGGGAAACCGAUAAACACACCGCCUGGGGAGUACGACCGCAAGGUUAAAACUCAAAUGAAUUGACGGGGACCCGCACAAGUAGUGGAGCAUGUGGUUUAAUUCGAAGAUACGCGCAGAACCUUACCAACACUUGACAUGUUCGUCGCGACUCUAAGAGAUUAGAGUUUUCGGUUCGGCCGGACGAAACACAGGUGCUGCAUGGCUGUCGUCAGCUCGUGCCGUGAGAUGUUGGGUUAAGUCCCGCAACGAGCGCAACCCUCACUUUUAGUUGCCAUCAUUAAGUUGGGCACUCUGAAAGAACUGCCAGUGAUAAGCUGGAGGAAGGUGGGGAUGACGUCAAGUCCUCAUGGCCCUUACGUGUUGGGCUACACACGUGCUACAAUGGUAUCUACAACAGGAAGCAAGACUGCGAAGUUAAGCAAAUCCCUAAAAGAUACCUCAGUUCGGAUUGCACUCUGCAACUCGAGUGCAUGAAGCUGGAAUUACUAGUAAUCGUGGAUCAGCGUGCCACGGUGAAUGCGUUCCCGGGUCUUGUACACACCGCCCGUCACACCAUGGGAGUUGGUUCUACCUUAAGGCAAGGUUUAAAACCCUUGACCACGGUAUAGUCAGCGACUGGGGUG